rnacentral:rRNA from 1 species
AGCAGCCGCGGUAAUUCCAGCUCCAAUAGCGUAUAUUAAAGUUGUUGCAGUUAAAAAGCUCGUAGUUGAAUUUCGGGGUCAGUAGGUUGGUCGUGCCACCGGUACGUACUGGUCUCACUGGUUCCUCCUUCCUGAAGAACCGUAAUGCCAUUAAUUUGGUGUUGCGGGGAAACAGGACUGUUACUUUGAAAAAAUUAGAGUGUUUAAAGCAGGCUAACGCUUGAAUACAUUAGCAUGGAAUAAUGAAAUAGGACGAUCGAUCCUAUUUUGUUGGUUUCUAGGAUUGACGUAAUGAUUAAUAGGGAUAGUUGGGGGCAUUAGUAUUCAAUUGUCAGAGGUGAAAUUCUUGGAUUUAUUGAAGACUAACUACUGCGAAAGCAUUUGCCAAGGAUGUUUUCAUUAAUCAAGAACGAAAGUUAGGGGAUCGAAGACGAUCAGAUACCGUCGUAGUCUUAACCAUAAACUAUGCCGACUAGGGAUCGGAUGAUGUUAAUUUUAUAAUGACUCAUUCGGCGCCUUA